UCCUACGGGGCGCAGCAGUAGGGAAUUUUCGUCAAUGGGCGCAAGCCUGAACGAGCAAUGCCGCGUGAACGAGGAAGGUCUUCGGAUCGUAAAGUUCUGUUGCAGGGGAAAAAGAGCGGAGAGAGGAAAUGGUCUCCGAUUGAUAUUACCCUUCGGGGAAGUCACGGCUAACUACGUGCCAGCAGCCGCGGUAAUACGUAGGUGGCGAGCGUUAUCCGGAAUGAUUGGGCGUAAAGGGUGCGUAGGCGGCCUGCUAAGUCUGGAGUGAAAGGUACCGGCUCAACCGGUACAGGCUCUGGAAACUG
rnacentral:rRNA from 1 species